rnacentral:rRNA from 1 species
UGGCGGACGGGUGAGUAACACGCUGGGUAACCUGCCUAAAAGAAGGGGAUAACACUUGGAAACAGGUGCUAAUACCGUAUAUCUCUAAGGAUCGCAUGAUCCUUAGAUGAAAGAUGGUUCUACUAUCGCUUUUAGAUGGACCUGCGGCGUAUUAACUAGUUGGUGGGGUAACGGCCUACCAAGGUAAUGAUACGUAGCCGAACUGAGAGGUUGAUCGGCCACAUUGGGACUGAGACACGGCCCAAACUCCUACGGGAGGCAGCAGUAGGGAAUCUUCCACAAUGGACGCAAGUCUGAUGGAGCAACGCCGCGUGAGUGAAGAAGGUCUUCGGAUCGUAAAACUCUGUUGUUAGAGAAGAACACGAGUGAGAGUAACUGUUCAUUCGAUGACGGUAUCUAACCAGCAAGUCACGGCUAACUACGUGCCAGCAGCCGCGGUAAUACGUAGGUGGCAAGCGUUGUCCGGAUUUAUUGGGCGUAAAGGGAACGCAGGCGGUCUUUUAAGUCUGAUGUGAAAGCCUUCGGCUUAACCGGAGUAGUGCAUUGGAAACUGGAAGACUUGAGUGCAGAAGAGGAGAGUGGAACUCCAUGUGUAGCGGUGAAAUGCGUAGAUAUAUGGAAGAACACCAGUGGCGAAAGCGGCUCUCUGGUCUGUAACUGACGCUGAGGUUCGAAAGCGUGGGUAGCAAACAGGAUUAGAUACCCUGGUAGUCCCCGCCGUAAACGAUGAAUGCUAGGUGUUGGAAGGGUUUCC